rnacentral:piRNA from 1 species
UACAAGGACCGCAAUUAUGGCAUGACCGCCA